GAUGAACGCUAGCUACAGGCUUAACACAUGCAAGUCGAGGGGCAGCAUGCAGGUAGCUUGCUAUCUGUGAUGGCGACCGGCGCACGGGUGAGUAACGCGUAUCCAACCUUCCCCGUAGUAGGGCACAGCCCGGCGAAAGUCGGAUUAAUUCCCGAUAAGCCAUCAUGCCGCAUGGUGUGUUGGUGAAACCAGGUAUGCGAUGGGGAUGCGUCCGAUUAGCUUGCCGGCGGGGUAACGGCCCACCGGGGCAUCGAUCGGUAGGGGUUCUGAGAGGAAGGUCCCCCACACUGGUACUGAGACACGGACCAGACUCC
rnacentral:rRNA from 1 species